AACAGAAAGGUAACUCUGCUCAUCCUAUCAGGCACAGUAAGUAAAGCAUACCACUUCUACGAGGUGAGAGAGGGCUGGCUUUGGAAGACCUGACUACCCAUUCUCCUGACCCCUCCAUGGCCUAAUUCCCCACCUGCCCAAUGGGAAGAAACCCCCCUCUCUGAGAGCUGGGAUCAACACUCAGGAGUCCCUAGCUACUACAGAGAAGCCAUCUAAUGGCAAAGGCUGCAACACAGGGAACAGAACACAAUUCAAAAGGCAAGUGUGCCUAACUGGGUAGGUCAAUCCACAGAGAAAAUUCAGUAAAGGAAGAAAGGAUUUCAGGUCUAGGGAAGGCAACCUGAGAGAGUAGCAGAGUCUCUUCAGUUUUUUACAGUUUGACAGGAGUUUCGAACUACUUUUUAACACUCCCUGACAAACAGAAUUCCACUAAUCAUGCUGCCAUCUACAAAAGGAUUGUACCCAGUUGAAAUUGAGAAGUUACCUAUUGGACUCCUCUACAACUUGUGUCAGAAGGGGGCUGAGAACAGUCACAUGCCCUCCGACUUCUGUAGUAACCAGCUACUCAGCUUCUGAUCUACUACUUCACUGCAAGCUCAGAAGAGCACGUUCCUAUGACCAGCUUUAUAAGGUUUUAAUUCUUUAAGGAGCAAGUCCUGUCCUCCUCAUAAUGAAGGCUUUUCCAAAAAGUGCUUUAUGUACCUGCCCUCCAGUUGCAAGUCUCAGCCUGCCACCAACCAUCAACAUGACAAGGAAAUAAAACCUCAGGAAAAAACAGUCCAA